GACUCCUUCGUCUAGUGGUUCGGACACCGGAUUUUCAUUCCGGCAACACGGGUUCGACUCCCGUAGGAGUUA
rnacentral:tRNA from 1 species